UAACUGUCCCAGUGUGAUCUAACUGUCCCAGUGUGAUCUGACUGUCCCAGUGUGAUCUAACUGUCCCAGUGUGAUCUGACUGUCCCAGUGUGAUCUGACUGUCCCAGUGUGGUAUAACUGUCCCAUUGUGAUCUUACUGUCCCAGUGUGAUCUGACUGUCCCAGUGUGAUCUGACUGUCCCAGUGUGGUCUAGCUGUCCCAGUGUGAUCUGACUGUCCCAGUGUGGUCUAACUGUCCCAGUGUGAUCUAACUGUCCCAGUGUGAUCUGACUGUCCCAGUGUGAUCUAACUGUCCCAGUGUGAUCUAACUGUCCCAGUGUGAUCCUACAUGUGAGCAUCUUAAAAAACCAUGGUUCUGUUCUCAAUAUAUAUGUAAAGCGUAGGGUAAAGCCUUUUGAUUGGGUUUAGAUAUAAAACCCAAACAUCUUUCCUCUAGAGACUAUAAAAGCACCUGUUUGAAAGUUUUAAAGGAAUCUCUAGGUAUUCCUGAAGGUUACACAUACAUUAUGGAGCCUGUGAGUGUGAAAUAUUGCACAUUUCUGGGAAAAAUCAUCAAAUAUGAGAUAUCAUGUACCCAUCUAGCUAGAGAUUGAUCAAUUUUCAGCCAACACAUAUACGUUAUAUGAAAGUUUAUGCAAGCAUGGUUGAUACGAUAUAUUGGUUGAUGUAUACAAAUGUUUGAAAUAAUGAAUCUCUUGAAGCAGUUUACUGCAAAAAACAAUUGCCAAAAGGAGUAAUCUUCAUGUUUCUCCAGUUUUGAGGUAUGUUUACAGGGUUUUUGUUGGAAUUUUAAAUCUUACCUUCACAUUGAUGUAUCAGAAUAAAAAAGCAACACAAAUAAUUUGAUUAAAAUUUUAAAGAAAUAUAGCAUUAUAUAUAUAUACAAAUAGGAAGAUAUUUGCUGUUAAGGACAUACACAAUGUAUACAGCAUGUAUAUGUUUUACCUAUCGUUAAAUUCAGCUACUAGACUCUUAUAAAUUUUCUUCAUUGAAAUUUUUUGUUUGAUCUUGGAAAACCCUGAUGUCAGGGAUUUUGUCAGGUAUUCAUUUUGUAUGUUGAUAUGACCCAUUCCCAAUGGAACAUUGAAUUGGUAUCAGCCCUUUUUUUCACUUAAAAAAAAAUAUAAAAUUCUAGUAGCAGCAGAGCAGGUGUUUGGUAAGGUCUUUAUCAGAAAUUUGAGAUUUGUGGAAUUCAACUGGUGGUAAUUUUUCCAAUUUUGUGCAAUAAACCAUUAUUUCCCCCCAAUUCCUGCAUUUGCAACAUUCUGUCAAGAUUAGCUGGCAAAACCUCUGCUGACAUUAUAUCUGUAAAUUUGUAUGGAAUAUAUCUAUUCAGAUAUCGUGUUGUGUAUAAUUGUAGAGACAGAGAAAAUAUCAUUGUCUGUACAGUCAGCUAAUAGAAAUUUCUUUAAGCAAUAUGUUUACUGUUAAAAGUCUUAAGCAUUAAGGUACAGCACUGAAGUAGAUUUGUUAAAUUAUCUUCGACUAGCUGAAUGAUUUAUGUAAGGGGUUUACCCCGGAGUAUUUGGACAACUUUGAUGAUUACACUACACUAGAUUCUCCAGAGUACCAGGAAUAUUGUCGUUAUCAUUUAAACCUUAUACAUUUGGUUAAAAUUGUAGACUUAUUGCAAAGUAUUACAUUGAAAAUUGUUUGUGAAUGUGCCUGUCAUAUUUUAAUAGAAUCAUUCUUUAUGUACAUUUUGUUUUGGGUCUUUAUAUUACCUUAAUGGGCUUGGUUUGUUUGUUGUCUUUAUCACCACAUAAACAGCCAGGGUCAUUUAGAGGUCAGGUGUCCUUGUAGUAGUUGGUGGCUACCUCACUGAACAAUAUACAUUAAUGAUAUUGGAGGACUUUUGCAUGCCAUCCAAAGCAAAAAAAGGUGAAGUGUUUUGCCCAAGGACAUAACCACGACAGCACAGACCAGUCUAUUUCCCAAAUUCCUGAGACCCAUAAUCUGCCAUGGAUAGGAAUUAGGGAGCAUCAAGCUACUCACAUUGGAUCAAUAUUCACCUGUUGUUACGUAGGCUGAUGCUCUAACCGACUGAGCAAUUGCAGCCCUUAUACAGGGGAUAUAUUGCUUACUAGUCUUGUUAGGGUAUAAUUCUUUAUCUGACCUGUUUUAAAGGUUAACAACCACCAAAAUAUGAAAAAGGCCAAAUGUUAUGUCAAAAUAUUAACAAUCCUUAAUGAAAACAUGUUAUACAUUCAUUUUAUAAACAAAACUUUAUUUUCAUGCAGUAUUCAUCAUUUGAAAAACCACAUAUUUCUGUAUGUCGGAGAAAUCAUAUCGUCUGCACAGUUAUCUCCCUUAGGUGUGACGUCAUUUGAGAUGAUCGGAAAAUCGUGUCAGCUGUCAGUGUACACAAACGUAAACAAACAUGGUACUGUGUGCCACGUUGACCUGUAUGGACAGCUCCAAUGAUGACAAAAAGAUUGGUAUGUUUUGGUUCCAAAAGAUAAGAUGUUGAGGACAGCAUGGACAGUAGAAGUGUAAAGGGACUGAUUUUCUCCAUCAUCACGGAGUCAUUUAGAAGUGAACUUUGCCUAUUAUGAAUACCCAAGACCAAACUGCGAUGAAUAUCACCAUCAAAACAAAAUGAGAAAUAUGCCGCAAUAAUGUGAAAUUUGUGUUAUGAACAUAUAAAUUAAUAAUAUGUUUUACUGUGAAGGUUGUUGAUGAAAUUGUUUGCAGGAGAAUUUUACUGGUGUAAUGAUUUUACAAGGGUUCAGAAUUGGUUCCUGUAAAAGUGUGUUAAUUAAGAUGCUGCUGUGGGUAUCUACACAAGUAAAACCUGUUUAUUUUAAAAAGUUUUUGGGAGUAUCUACUGUUUAUUUCUCAGGGGCGUUAACCAUGAUGUACAAUGUUUACUUUAAUUGUGUGUUAAGCAAUCAUGACUGGAUGGUGUUUAUAAUUAUGUUUAUAGUAUAAAUGUUACUUCAGCGAUUUGUCUAUGGGAACAUUUACAGUGUAAACUAUUUACAUUGAUGGAAUGUUCAUAAGUGUCUACAGCAUAUAAUAUUUACAUUUGCACUAAGGACAAGUGUCUUUUUGAACAUUUACAGUAUAAACUGUUUACAGUGAUUUAAGGAUAUCAUGUCUAAUUAAACUAGAUGUGUUUACUAUGGAUGUGUGUUUAUUAGAAUCUUUACAGCAGAUAGUGGCUAUAAUUGCCUGUGUUGGGUGUUAAUGAGAAUCUUUACAGCAGAUAUAGGCCAAUUGGCUGUGUUGGGUGUCAAUGAGAAUCUUUACAGCAGAUACAGGCCAAUUGGCUGUGUUGGGUGUCAAUGAGAAUCUUUACAGCAGAUAUAGGCCAAUUGGCUGUGCUGGGUGUCAAUGAGAAUCUUUACAGCAGAUACAGGCCAAUUGGCUGUGUAAGGUGUCAAUGAGAAUCUUUACAGCAGAUAUAGGCCAAUUAAUUGGCUGUGUAAGGUGUCAAUGAGAAUCUUUAGAACAGGAAGUAGAUACAAUGGAUGUAUGUUUAUGAGAAUGUUUACAGGAAACUGUAUCCAGGUUGGGUGUUAAUUAGAAUAUUUACAGCAGAUACAGGCUAUUUGAAUGUGUUAGGUGUUAAUGAGAAUCUUUACAGCAGAUACAGGCCAAUUGGCUGUGUAAGGUGUCAAUGAGAAUCUUUACAGCAGAUACAGGCCAAUUGGCUGUGUAAGGUGUCAAUGAGAAUCUUUACAGCAGAUAUAGGCCAAUUGGCUGUGUAAGGUGUCAAUGAGAAUCUUUACAGCAGAUACAGGCCAAUUGGCUGUGUAAGGUGUCAAUGAGAAUCUUUACAGCAGAUAUAGGCCAAUUGGCUGUGUAAGGUGUCAAUGAGAAUCUUUACAGCAGAUACAGGCCAAUUGGCUGUGUAAGGUGUCAAUGAGAAUCUUUAGAACAGGAAGUAGAUACAAUGGAUGUAUGUUUAUGAGAAUGUUUACAGGAAACUGUAUCCAGGUUGGGUGUUAAUUAGAAUAUUUACAGCAGAUACAGGCUAUUUGAAUGUGUUAGGUGUUAAUGAGAAUCUUUACAGCAGAUACAGGCCAAUUGGCUGUGUAAGGUGUCAAUGAGAAUCUUUACAGCAGAUACAGGCCAAUUGGCUGUGUAAGGUGUCAAUGAGAAUCUUUACAGCAGAUAUAGGCCAAUUGGCUGUGUAAGGUGUCAAUGAGAAUCUUUACAGCAGAUACAGGCCAAUUGGCUGUGUAAGGUGUCAAUGAGAAUCUUUACAGCAGAUAUAGGCCAAUUGGCUGUGUAAGGUGUCAAUGAGAAUCUUUACAGCAGAUACAGGCCAAUUGGCUGUGUAAGGUGUCAAUGAGAAUAUUUACAGCAGAUACAGGCCAAUUGGCUGUGUAAGGUGUCAAUGAGAAUCUUUACAGCAGAUACAGGCCAAUUGGCUGUGUAAGGUGUCAAUGAGAAUCUUUACAGCAGAUACAGGCCAAUUGGCUGUGUAAGUUGUCAAUGAGAAUCUUUACAGCAGAUAUAGGCCAAUUGGCUGUGUAAGGUGUCAAUGAGAAUCUUUACAGCAGAUACAGGCCAAUUGGCUGUGUAAGGUGUCAAUGAGAAUCUUUACAGCAGAUAUAGGCCAAUUGGCUGUGUAAGGUGUCAAUGAGAAUCUUUAGAACAGGAAGUAGAUACAAUGGAUGUAUGUUUAUGAGAAUGUUUACAGGAAACUGUAUCCAGGUUGGGUGUUAAUUAGAAUCUUUACAGCAGAUACAGGCUAUUUGAAUGUGUUAGGUGUUAAUGAGAAUCUUUACAGCAGGAAGUAGAUACAAAGAAUGCGUGUUUAUGAGAAUGUUUACAGUAACGUUAUCAAGGUUAGAUGUUAAUGAGAAUCUUUACAGGAAACUAUCCAGGUUGGGUGUUAAUCACAAUCUUUACAGCAGGAAGUAGAUACAAGGGAUGUAUGUUUAUGAGAAUGUUUACAGUAACUGUAUUCAGAUUGGGUGUUAUAGAGAAUCUUUACAGCAGGAAGUAGAUACAAUGGAAAUGUGUUCAUGAGAAUGUUUACAGGAAACUGUAUCCAGGUUGGGUGUUAUAGAGAAACUUUACAGCAGAUAUAGGCCAAUUGGCUGUGUUGGGUGUCAAUGAGAAUCUUUUCAACAGGAAGUAGAUACAAUUGAUGUGUGUUUAUGAGAAUCUUUACAGCAUGAUGUAACCAGGCUGUGUGUUUAUGAGAUUCUUUACAGCAAAUGUUAAUGUUGAUGUUAAUGAAAGCAGAGCAUUAUUUACUACUUUUGUAUGUACAAUUUUUUGAGAAUGAUGAAAUUGGUUACUUGAUAUGGUACAUGUUGGUGAGAAUGUUCACUAACUACUUUGUAUCAUAUAGGGGAAGUAGAAAGUAGUUAGUGUGCAGAAUGUUUUAAGAAUGUUGUAUUAUGUAAGGACAUGCACCAUUGGGCUAGUUUGAGAAGAAAAUGGUGGAUGUUGUUUACAGAAAGUAAAUAAUAGAAUGUUUAUGAGGGUGAUACUAAUAGAGCUUCUAUACAAAUGUUUACAAAAGAUAGUAGUUAGUAUGUUAAACCUAAAGCAUUAACUUAUGAGGAUCUGUUGAAGUGUUAGGACAUGAACAGCAUGCUUAAAGUUGAGGGUUGUUUAUAAGAUCAUUUACUGUAUAAAACAUCAUUGAUAUUCUGGUAAAUGUCUUGUUGUUGUUGAAUAUUUGUGAAAUAAAAAAUAUCAAACAAUCA